CACAGAACCGGCAAGAUAUUAACAAAAGUAGUGGAGGGAUUGUUACAUUCAUCAUGAAUCAGCCGAUUAAAAAGAGACAGAGAAACCCAAUGUCAGAGGAACAGAAGCAGAGAAAAGGAAGACUGACCGACAGAGGGGCCAGACACGAGUAGACGUUGGGUGAGCUUCUCAGGAAUGGCCUGAACUGAAAGAAAAAGAAGACUGCAAAUCGGAUGCCGACUUGGCCGUGAAAUUCAAAAAAAGGUCUUCCACAUUGACCAGAACGCGAUGGCUUAAGGUGGCCUCCAACAGCAGCUGUGGGUUGAGGAACAGGAAUCUACAGGGGGACCCAGCUGACGUGCCCCAGCCAUAUCAGGACAGCUGGAACCCGUCUUCCCUCUCAGACGGAGAACUCAUCUGCUCAGACUACAUCUUGG
ensembl:lncRNA